GAAGGUCCACCCGGUGGCGGCGACGACGACGGGGUCCGCCAUGACCGACCGCGAGAUGGGGCACCGGAACUCCACGGGCGGCUCCACGGCCGCCGUAGUAACCGAGGAGGAGGAAGAGGGCGAGGUGGACAGCGAGAGGUGGGAGGUGAGCUUGCAGCGCUGCUCGUCGCUUCCCAUUUCACUCGGUUUCCAUGCGAUGACACGGCCAUCCUCGUCUUCCUCCUCUUCUUGGAAUCUUUUAGCAGUCGUCGCACGGAGUCAGCGGCGCGGAUCAGCUGCGUGAU
rnacentral:lncRNA from 1 species